GUGGAUUUCUGCGUGGGCUGUUAAGUCCCAACGCAAUGCUGUCGCCUGUUCAGCAGAGUGACUUCCCGCCUGUUUUGCCCUGCACAGACGAAAGUCUUUAAUCCAGUGCGUCAGAAACAGAGCCCAAUCUGGUCUGCACACAGCUGUGCCGUCAGCGUUGUUACCGUGUCUACCUUAUUUGUGUGCAAGCUGUACAACUACCAUUUUCAUUGCUGGCGUUGCCUUCCUCAUGGAAGUCUGAACGGAUGUUUAUAGGUUUAGUUUUUGGUGUCAGCCUGGCACCUGGUUGGGAGGUUUGUUCCACUGAAGCAACCAGUCUAAAAUCGUAAUGUUUCUGCUGUAGAACGCACGUAGGGUUUCGACAUUUGUCUACAGGUUUCGUUCACACCUCAUCCGUCUAUUCGUUUCUGACAAAGGGUCUUUUCGCAGAUACGCUCGUAGUGUGCGGGUCGACUAGGGGGCUGGAAAAAGCUCUUUCCUCGUAGACAAGCGUUUCUGUCACGAACAGAGGUUCCUCAUUCUGCGACAGAAACGCAGCGUUACAGUUUUGAUGGAUGACCAAAGAACCCGCUUCUUGUUUUUUCUCUGAGUGGUUCCCGCGAGCUGCAUGUGUAGCAUUUUGUAGAUCAAAAUCUGUGAAAGCUCCAAAACACCUACCCGGUCAAUUUGUGCCUCUGCGGAAAGCAACGCUGUGAAUCUUCCAGUGCGUCAUCCUUUGUUCCAGAUAUUAUAGUAUCUUUGCAAAAUAUAAGACUAGUCAUUCGUUUCAAAAAACGUUGAGCGAGUUUGCUUCGCCUGGGUAUGCUGCUGCCUGAUAAGCUGAGAGUAUAGAAAGCGCUUUAUCAACUUCAAGAGCGUCGACACACUGCUGAUUCAAAUCUCAAUUUGUGCGGUUGUCAAACGUUUUUUUCCCUCUGCUGUGGAGAGGCAGAGACUACACCUUUUUCUCCAUGGAUAGAGGGUUUUAAGUGAACUGGGAGAUCACAAAUGCACCAUUUUUUACCGUUUUGGUGAUACGACGACAUAACCCUAACCUAAAAGCAGAAGACAG
rnacentral:lncRNA from 1 species